GGUGAACGCUGGCGGCGUGCUUAAGACAUGCAAGUCGAACGCAGUCUUCGGACUGAGUGGCGCACGGGUGAGUAACACGUAACUGACCUACCCCCAAGUCGCGAAUAACCAGCCGAAAGGAUGGCUAAUACGUGAUGUGAUGAUCCGCUGUGGCGGAUCAUUAAAGACUUGAUCGCUUGGGGAUGGGGUUGCGAUCCAUCAGCUAGUUGGUAAGGUAAAGGCUUACCAAGGCAACGACGGAUAGCCGGCCUGAGAGGGUGGCCGGCCACAGGGGCACUGAGACACGGGUCCCACUCCUACGGGAGGCAGCAGUUAGGAAUCUUCCACAAUGGGCGCAAGCCUGAUGGAGCGACGCCGCGUGAGGGAUGAAGGUUCUCGGAUCGUAAACCUCUGAACCAACGACGAAAGACCCGACAAGGGAGAUGACGGUAGUUGGGUAAUAGCACCGGCUAACUCCGUGCCAGCCGCCGCCGUAAAAC
rnacentral:rRNA from 1 species